rnacentral:rRNA from 1 species
GAUGAACGCUGGCGGCGUGCCUAAUACAUGCAAGUCGAGCGAACAGACGAGGAGCUUGCUCCUCUGACGUUAGCGGCGGACGGGUGAGUAACAUGUGGAUAACCUACCUAUAAGACUGGGAUAACUUCGGGAAACCGGAGCUAAUACCGGAUAAUAUAUUGAACCGCAUGGUUCAAUAGUGAAAGACGGUUUUGCUGUCACUUAUAGAUGGAUCCGCGCCGCAUUAGCUAGUUGGUAAGGUAACGGCUUACCAAGGCGACGAUGCGUAGCCGACCUGAGAGGGUGAUCGCACACACUGGAACUGAGACACGGUCCAGACUCCUACGGGAGGCAGCAGUAGGGAAUCUUCCGCAAUGGGCGAAAGCCUGACGGAGCACAGCCGCGUGAGUGCUGAAGGUCUUCGGAUCGUAAAACUAUGUUAUUAGGGAAGAACAAAUGUGUAAGUAACUAUGCACGUCUUGACGGUACCUAAUCAGAAAGCCACGGCUAACUACGUG